rnacentral:lncRNA from 1 species
UGGCCACAUGUCCUCCCAUCAUUAGAGAGGUUAGGAGGCCUCAUUUUUGGUCAAUGAGAGAAAAGGUGGGAGAUCAUGCUUUUAGGGUUAGAAGGAGACACCCUUGGCCUAUAAAUAGAUGUGUCUCCAUCCUUAUAUUUCAUCUUGGAAAUUAGUAAUGUUAUGCUGCCAAAUUGUAGCCUCAUUCUUCCUUGAUCAAGACUAGAACAACCGUAGAGGCCCUUCUAGUCACCUACCUCAUGGAGUUGGCCUAACCUCUCCUUGAACCUUCAAACUACCCACAAUCUCUAUCCUAUCACCACACCACCAUCAUUUGCAAACCAUAUCACCCCUUUCCCACCCAUUUCCGCAACCAUAUCCAUCAUAGGGACCAUCUUCUUACUUCCUCCUAAGUUUUGACCCAACCUAGCUCAAGGAGGUUGCCAUCAUUUGGUAUCAAGAGCUUUGGUUCUUCAAGAGCUAAGUCUUUUGGUCCUUAUCUAUCCUUUAUUGUUCCAUGUUGUUGAUGUUAUUUCCCCAC